UGGGGAAUAUUGCACAAUGGGCGAAAGCCUGAUGCAGCAACGCCGCGUGAGUGAUGAAGGCCUUCGGGUUGUAAAGCUCUGUCUUUUGGGACGAUAAUGACGGUACCAAAGGAGGAAGCCACGGCUAACUACGUGCCAGCAGUCGCGGUAAUACGUAGGUGGCAAGCGUUGUCCGGAUUUACUGGGCGUAAAGGAUGCGUAGGCGGAUUUUUAAGUGAGAUGUGAAAUACCCGGGCUUAACUUGGGUGCUGCAUUUCAAACUGGGAAUCUAGAGUGCGGGAGAGGAGAAUGGAAUUCCUAGUGUAGCGGUGAAAUGCGUAGAGAUUAGGAAGAACACCAGUGGCGAAGGCGAUUCUCUGGACCGUAACUGACGCUGAGGCAUGAAAGCGUGGGUAGCAAACAGGAUUAGAUACCCUGGUAGUCCACGCCGUAAACGAUGAGUACUAGGUGUAGGAGGUAUCGACCCCUUCUGUGCCGCAGUUAACACAAUAAGUAGCUCCGCCUGGGGAAGUACGAUCGCAAGAUUAAAACUCAAAUGAAUUGACGGGGUC
rnacentral:rRNA from 1 species